GCUAUUUUGACAGAUAAAUGUGAUAAAUUUAGAAUUUAUUAAUAAAUAAUUAUAUUAUUUAGAUAGUA
rnacentral:tRNA from 1 species